AACGAACGCUGGCGGCGUGCCUAACACAUGCAAGUCGAACGAGAAAGGGGCUUCGGCUCCGAGUAAAGUGGCGCACGGGUGAGUAACACGUGGGUAACCUGCCUCUAAGAUUGGGAUAACUCGUCGAAAGAUGAGCUAAUACCGAAUAAGACCACAGUUCCCGCGGGAACAGGGGUCAAAGGUAGCCUCUGCUUGCAAGCUAUCACUUAGAGAUGGGCCUGCGCACCAUUAGCUAGUUGGUAGGGUAACGGCCUACCAAGGCAAAGAUGGUUAGCUGGUCUGAGAGGAUGAUCAGCCACACUGGAACUUAGACACGGUCCAGACUCCUACGGGAGGCAGCAGUGGGGAAUAUUGCGCAAUGGGCGAAAGCUUGACGCAGCAACGCCGCGUGAGUGAUGAAGGCCUUCGGGUCGUAAAGCUCUGUCGGGAGGAACGAAUGCUCCUGAGGUUAACAGCCUCGGGAGGUGACGGUACCUUCAAAGGAAGCACCGGCUAACUCUGUG
rnacentral:rRNA from 1 species